rnacentral:rRNA from 1 species
UAACAAAAACAUGGUUUAAUGAAUGAUGGGAUAAUAUUAAAUUAAGCCUGCCCAAUGAGUAUUUAAAUGGCUGCAGUAAUUUAACUGUACAAAGGUAGCAUAAUCAAUAGUUUUUUAAUUGGAAGCUAGAAUGAAUGGUUUAAUGAAAUAAAAACUUUAUUGUUAUAAUAAAUUGAAUUUUAUUUUUUAGUGAAAAAGCUAAAAUUUAUAUAUUAGACGAGAAGACCCUAUAGAUUUUUAUAGAAUUAAGUAAUUAAUGAUUUAAGAAUUUUUAUUAUUAAAUUAAUUAAAUUUAUUUUGUUGGGGUGAUAGUAAAAUUUAAUAAAUUUUUAUUUAAUAAAUACAUUUAUUUAUGAAUGAUUGAUCCAUAAAAUGAGUUAAAAAUUAAAAUACCUUAGGGAUAACAGCAUAAUUUAUUUGGAAAGUUCUUAUUGAUAAAUAAGAUUAUGACCUCGAUGUUGGAUUAAGGUAAAGUUUAGGUGUAGAAGCUUAAAUAUUAAGUCUGUUCG